rnacentral:rRNA from 1 species
UGGAUUAUGUGGAUUAAUUCGAUGCAACGCGAAAACCUUACUACCCUUGACAUGUACGGAACCUCGCAGAGAUGUGAGGGUGCCCGAAAGGGAGCCGUAACACAGGUGCUGCAUGGCUGUCGUCAGCUCGUGUCGUGAGAUGUUGGGUUAAGUCCCGCAACGAGCGCAACCCUUGCCAUUAGUUGCUACAUUCAGUUGGGCACUCUAAUGGGACUGCCGGUGACAAACCGGAGGAAGGUGGGGAUGACGUCAAGUCCUCAUGGCCCUUAUGGGUAGGGCUUCACACGUAAUACAAUGGCAGGUACAGAGGGACGCCAACCCGCGAGGGGGAGCCAAUCCCAGAAAGCCUGUCGUAGUCCGGAUUGUAGUCUGCAACUCGACUACAUGAAGCUGGAAUCGCUAGUAAUCGCGGAUCAGCAUGUCGCGGUGAAUACGUUCCCGGGUCUU